UUACCGCGGCUGAUGGCACGAAGUUAGCCGGGGCUUCUUCUGCGGGUACCGUCAUUAUCUUCCCCGCCGAAAGGGCUUUACAACCCUAGGGCCUUCAUCACCCACCCGGCGUGGCUGGAUCAGGCUUGCGCCCAUUGUCCAAUAUUCCCCACUGCUGCCUCCCGUAGG
rnacentral:rRNA from 1 species